rfam:Burkholderia udeis isolate LMG 27134 genome assembly, contig: contig000030
UGUCUCCUCCAUGUCUCCACUGAUAUGGAUUCAGCCCGCCCAUCUUAGGCGGGCUUUUUUUU